ensembl:misc_RNA
GAACCCAAGUAGGAAUCCGUGUGAUCACUGUUCUUUUGCCAAGACACGGGGUGGACAAUAAGAUUCCUUUACAAAGAACUUGUGUAAGUGUUUGCCUGGUGCUGCAAAAAGCGGCUCACUGGGAAUGGGGAGGAGCGUGUGGUAAGCCAGAG